GAUGAACGCUAGCUACAGGCUUAACACAUGCAAGACGAGGGGUAACAAGAGAACAGCUUGCUUUUCUUGUUGACGACCGGCGCACGGGUGAGUAACGCGUAUCCAACCUGCCUAUAACUAGGGAAUAACCGUGCUAAAGUAAGACUAAUAGCCUAUGAUUUCCUUUGAUGGCAUCAGAUUAGGAAUAAAGAUUUAUAGGUUAUAGAUGGGGAUGCGUCUGAUUAGCUUGUUGGCGGGGUAACGGCCCACCAAGGCAACGAUCAGUAGGGGUUCUGAGAGGAAGGUCCCCCACAUUGGAACUGAGACACGGUCCAAACUCCUACGGGAGGCAGCAGUGAGGAAUAUUGGUCAAUGGGCGGAAGCCUGAACCAGCCAAGUAGCGUGCAGGAUGACGGCCCUAUGGGUUGUAAACUGCUUUUAUACAGGAAUAAAGUUAGCCACGUGUGGUUAUUUGUAGGUACUGUAUGAAUAAGGACCGGCUAAUUCCGUGCCAGCCGCCGCGGUAA
rnacentral:rRNA from 1 species